GCUGACAUCCCACCGGGCGUGUUUGAUGGCUUCCCUCUACUCCACACCAGAUGCCUCUGGAUGGGAUUGAACUUGGGUUCUUGCGCUUGCAAGGCAGGCAGCGAAACCACUGAGCUAAAUUCCCAGCGGCAUGAUAUUUUUAAAAAUAUGCCAUGAAGUAAACAGGCCUCCUAUGCCACACAUUCUCACUGUGAUGUACUGUGCCAGUACUGUGAUGUACUUGACCGAAAGCAACAGGGCCAAGCAACCAUGGACUGAAGCCUCUGAAACUGCAGUUGGGGCCAGCCCAUGAGGAGCCAACAUGGACAGUCGAGGAGCCAACUGGAGAGGUCAAUGAAGACACAUUCAACAAAGGCCAGCAUUGUAAGAGGAGAGAAACUACCACACCCAUGUAGGAUGAAUAGCAGUGAUCGAUAUUCUCAAGUAUCGUCCUGCUGACAAUCCUUUCCUAGGACUGCCUGUUGCCACCAGGAAAAAGAUGCCACAGCCCCUCUAUCUUUCAGGAGUAGGUGCUCAGUGACUAAUGCACGAGAAUCUCACGUGAGAGGCGCCCUGCACCAAGUGUGGAAGCGAGGUUGAGGGGGUGAUUAGAGAUCCUCAGAGAGGAGGAGGAGUGGACCACUAGUCACUGGGCUUAUUUUCAAGCUGGAGAAGACCAGGGAGACUUGUGCUUUGCAUAAACAACUGUAAUCUUCACAACUACAUGCUCAUUAUUACUGUCCCCAUCUGACACGUCAGGAAACUGAAGCUUAGGGAACUCGGAAAACUUGCUCAAGUCACAUGGCUAAUACAGGACCCACUUACUAAUCAUUCCCCAAAUUCUUUCUUUACAUAAUUCCAGUGAAGCUAUUUUAGCCAAUGAAAAAUAUUUUCUCUCUUUGAAAUAUAAUAUGGCUGGCCAAGUGAUCAUCGCAGAUACACA
rnacentral:lncRNA from 1 species